rnacentral:rRNA from 1 species
CGGUGUAGCAAUACACAGUGGCGGAAGGGUGAGGAACACGUGAAUAAUCUGCCCUCCAGUUGGGAAUAACUUUCCGAAAGGAAAGCUAAUACCGAAUGAGGUUGUUUUGCCGCAUGGCGAAGCGACUAAAGAUUUAUCGCUGGAGGAUGAGUUCGCGUCCCAUUAGCUGGUUGGCGGGGUAACGGCCCACCAAGGCGAGGAUGGGUAGCUGGUCUGAGAGGAUGAUCAGCCACACUGGGACUGAGACACUGCCCAGACUCCUACGGGAGGCUGCAGUCGAGAAUCUUUUGCAAUGCGCGAAAGCGUGACAAAGCAAUGCCGCGUGCCGGAUGAAGGUCUUCGGAUUGUAAACGGCUGUCACCCGUGACGAAACAUGACGGUAACGGGGGAGGAAGCCACGGCUAACUACGUGCCAGCAGCCGCGGUAAUACGUAGGUGGCGAGCGUUGUUCGGAUUUAUUGGGCGUAAAGGGUUCGUAGGUGGUUCGCUAAGUCUGACGUGAAAUCCCGUGGCUCAACCACGGAACUGCGUUGGAGACUGGCGGACUUGAGUAUUGGAGAGGUAAGCGGAAUACCAGGUGUAGCGGUGGAAUGCGUAGAUAUCUGGUAGAACACCGAGAGCGAAGGCAGCUUGCUGGACAAUAACUGACACUGAGGAACGAAAGCGUGGGGAGCAAACAGGAUUAGAUACCCUGGUAGUCCACGCCGUAAACGUUGUCAACUUGAUGUGGGAGGAUUUAGUCCCUUCCGUAUCGAAGCUAACGCGAUAAGUUGACCGCCUGGGG